rnacentral:rRNA from 1 species
UACGAAGGGGGCUAGCGUUGCUCGGAAUCACUGGGCGUAAAGCGCACGUAGGCGGCUUUCUAAGUCAGGGGUGAAAUCCUGGAGCUCAACUCCAGAACUGCCUUUGAUACUGGAGAGCUUGAGUCCGGAAGAGGUGAGUGGAACUCCGAGUGUAGAGGUGAAAUUCGUAGAUAUUCGGAAGAACACCAGUGGCGAAGGCGGCUCACUGGUCCGGUACUGACGCUGAUGUGCGAAAGCGUGGGGAGCGAACGGG